AUUAGAAACCAAAAUGUAGCGUCAUUGUUGACAGUGUCUUAACGCAAAAAUAAAACAAUCAUGGAACUUGGACUUACCAGCAGCCGUGGACCCAAAAGAAAAUCACACACAACGAAAAUCACUGCAGCCCACCCGGUGCUGUACAAAAGAAAGUGUGAAAACGACCCACCACCUGAGGUCCCAGGGCCACUGGUACGUCCUCCGUUCACUAAAAGAAAACACAGAAAAAUAUGUUAAAAGAAUAACAGGACACUGAGCGUCAGGCUCGCUACAGAUGAUACAAAGAACUAAAACACACUUUAAUAGCUUUAAUAAAAGAAACCACACACACACACACACACACACACACACACACACACACACACACACACACACACAGGAAGGCUUGUGCCCCGCGGGUCCACUCGUACUGGUAGUAAUGGUCCCAGCCUCAAUCGCGAGCUGGUCUGGCUCCCCACAGGCUAAGACCAGCAACGGGGGCAAUUUAAAAUCCCCGGCACGACACUCGGGCAAAGAAUUGCUUCAGCCCGAUCACAGAAGCGUGGGCACACGCAACAAUCCAGAGAUAAAAUAAAAUAAAACCAGGCGAACCAGGAAAUGGUAGGCCUACUUAAUAAAACCAAAUAAGACAAGACAAGACAAGACAGCAGGCUCCACUGAGGAGGAGCCCUCACAACAACGGCUAGGCAGGUGUCUUGAUUCUUCACUUAAGGCUGUGUGAGUUGCCACGGAGGUGAAGGCAGCGAUCACGCCCUAAAACAGACAAAUAUAACCUUAGCCUCUGGUAGCUGUGAAUGCUAAUAAAAAUAGUUUGAACAGCUUACCCCAGGACCGGAGGCGUUAUACUCUCACUGGUGGGGGAAAUCGCACAAGCACCUCUCUCCGCAACGCCGGAAUAAAACAACCUGCCGCGCUACAACAGGCCGCAAAAACUAUUACUAUACAUUCCAAUACUGAAAGGGAAUCUGAGGUUAAGCGAGAGCAUACCUGUGGCUGUCAUAUGAUCUACUCUUGCCGAUCAGUCCGUCGCAGAGUGUCAGCAUUUACUGCUGCUUUGCGCUGAAUGCAUGGAAGGAAUAAUCCAAAGAAGCACCGGCUUAGCUUUAUACCUGGUGCCAGCCUGCAAU
ensembl:lncRNA